GACGAACGCUGGCGGCGUGCUUAACACAUGCCAGUCGAACGGAAAGGCCCUGCUCUUGCUGGGUGCUCGAGUGGCGAACGGGUGAGUAACACGUGAGUAACCUGCCCUUGACUUUGGGAUAACUCCAGGAAACUGGGGCUAAUACCGGAUAGGAGCUCCUGCUGCACGGUGGGGGUUGGAAAGUUUCGGCGGUUGGGGAUAGACUCGCAGGUUAUCAGCUUGUUGGUGAGGUAGUGGCUUACCAGGGCUUUGACGGGUAGCCGGCCUGGGAGGGGGACCGGGCACAAUGGGACUGAGAUACGGCCCAGACGCGUACGGGAGGCAGCGGUGGGGAAUAUUGCGCAAUGGGCGGAAGCCUGAUGCAGCGGCCCCGCGUGCGGAAUAACGGCCUUCGGGUUGUAAACCGCUUUCGCCUGUGACGAAGCGUGAGUGACGGUAAUGAAUAAGGAAGCACCGGCUAACUACGUG
rnacentral:rRNA from 1 species